rnacentral:lncRNA from 1 species
GAUAAUUAAUCUAUAAGCACUCAACAGCUGUACUAUCACACGGAUUAUUAGAAAACGAACACUGGGUACUUCAUUUAGUACAGACACAGUCGUAAGGAUCCGGGAAGCCAGGCGAGGUUGUCGAUCUCUGCAGACUCCAGUGGCUGCUGUGGAGCGUGGACUUGGUCUGGUCGUAGCCCAGGAGGUGUGGAGGGUUGGUGGGCCUUUUCUCCGCCCAUUCCCC